rnacentral:rRNA from 1 species
UACGGAGGGUGCAAGCGUUGUCCGGAUUCAUUGGGUUUAAAGGGUGCGUAGGCGGCUUUGUAAGUCAGCGGUGAAAGCCCACAGCUCAACUGUGGAAUUGCCGUUGAUACUGCAGAGCUUGAGUUCGACCGAGGUCGUUGGAACGCGCAGUGUAGCGGUGAAAUGCUUAGAUAUUGCGCAGAACACCGAUUGCGAAGGCAGAUGGCUAGGUCGCGACUGACGCUGAGGCACGAAAGUGCGGGGAUCAAACAGG